GACGAACGCUGGCGGCGUGCUUAACACAUGCAAGUCGAACGGAAAGGCCCUGCUUUUGUGGGGUGCUCGAGUGGCGAACGGGUGAGUAACACGUGAGUAACCUGCCCUUGACUUUGGGAUAACUUCAGGAAACUGGGGCUAAUACCGGAUAGGAGCUCCUGCUGCAUGGUGGGGGUUGGAAAGUUUCGGCGGUUGGGGAUGGACUCGCGGCUUAUCAGCUUGUUGGUGGGGUAGUGGCUUACCAAGGCUUUGACGGGUAGCCGGCCUGAGAGGGUGACCGGCCACAUUGGGACUGAGAUACGGCCCAGACUCCUACGGGAGGCAGCUGUGGGGAAUAUUGCACAAUGGGCGGAAGCCUGAUGCAGCAACGCCGCGUGCGGGAUGACGGCCUUCGGGUUGUAAACCGCUUUCGCCUGUGACGAAGCGUGAGUGACGGUAAUGGGUAAAGAAGCACCGGCUAACUACGUGCCAGCAGCCGCGGUGAUACGUAGGGUGCGAGCGUUGUCCGGAUUUAUUGGGCGUAAAGGGCUCGUAGGUGGUUGAUCGCGUCGGAGGUGUAAUCUUGGGGCUUAACCCUGAGCGUGCUUUCGAUACGGGUUGACUUGAGGAAGGUAGGGGAGAAUGGAAUUCCUGGUGGAGCGGUGGAAUGCGCAGAUAUCAGGAGGAACACCAGUGGCGAAGGCGGUUCUCUGGGCCUUUCCUGACGCUGAGGAGCGAAAGCGUGGGGAGCGAACAGGCUUAGAUACCCUGGUAGUCCACGCUGUAAACGGUGGGUACUAGGUGUGGGGUCCAUUCCACGGGUUCCGUGCCGUAGCUAACGCUUUAAGUACCCCGCCUGGGGAGUACGGCCGCAAGGCUAAAACUCAAAGGAAUUGACGGGGCCCCGCACAAGCGGCGGAGCAUGCGGAUUAAUUCGAUGCAACGCGUAGAACCUUACCUGGGUUUGACAUGGAUCGGGAGUGCUCAGAGAUGGGUGUGCCUCUUUUGGGGUCGGUUCACAGGUGGUGCAUGGCUGUCGUCAGCUCGUGUCGUGAGAUGUUGGGUUAAGUCCCGCAACGAGCGCAACCCUUGUUCACUGUUGCCAGCACGUUAUGGUGGGGACUCAGUGGAGACCGCCGGGGUCAACUCGGAGGAAGGUGGGGAUGACGUCAAGUCAUCAUGCCCCUUAUGUCCAGGGCUUCACGCAUGCUACAAUGGCUGGUACAGAGAGUGGCGAGCCUGUGAGGGUGAGCGAAUCUCGGAAAGCCGGUCUCAGUUCGGAUUGGGGUCUGCAACUCGACCUCAUGAAGUCGGAGUCGCUAGUAAUCGCAGAUCAGCAACGCUGCGGUGAAUACGUUCCCGGGGCUUGUACACACCGCCCGUCAAGUCAUGAAAGUUGGUAACACCCGAAGCCGGUGGCCUAACCGUUGUGGGGGAGCCGUCGAAGGUGGGACUGGUGAUUAGGACUAAGUCGUAACAAGGUAGCCGUACCGGAAGG
rnacentral:rRNA from 1 species